UAACUUACUGAGCAGUUGUGCAACAGCAAAACGCACAUUACAGUCACCGUCUGCUUCAGUCCAAGGUUCCCAAGCUAAUUUGAAGGAAAAUAUGGAUGGGACAACACGCGAAAGGCUGAGUCAAAUUCAGGGUGUCCCAGUACUAGAGCGGGUGGUGAAGUACUGGGCAAGAGUGGAGAAAUUCCAGGCGUCAAAUGAGGAUUUACUCAUUACCACGUAUCCUAAAGCAGGAACUACGUGGACACAGGAAGUAGUGGAUAGCAUCCUGAAUGAAGGAGAUGUUGAAAAGUGCAAGCGGGCGCCCACUCAGGUGCGCAUGCCAUUCUUAGAGAUGACUGCUCCUGAUGGUUCAAGUUCUGGUAUAACUAAGCUGGAGGUUAUGGAUCCCCCUCGUGUUAUAAAAACUCAUCUUCCCAUCCAGCUUGUGCCUCGUUCUUUCUGGGAUGCUGGUUGCAAGGUUAUUUAUAUGGCCCGUAAUCCAAAAGACACUGUGGUUUCAUAUUAUCACUUUGACCGCAUGCAUCUUUACCAGCCAGAGCCUGGCCCUUGGCCACAAUAUCUGGAGAAGUUCAUGAAAGGGCAAUUGGGUUGGGGAUCCUGGUAUGACCAUGUUAAAGGAUACUGGAGGGAAAGGCAUAACAAGAAAAUCCUUUACAUAUUAUAUGAAGACAUGAAAGAGGACCCUGUUCGUGAAGUAACCCGCAUUGCUCAAUUCCUCGAACGGCAGUUGUCAAAAAGUACAAUAGAGCAUAUUGUGCAAAUGACAGCGUUUUCAGUUAUGCGAGAAAACCCCAUGGCAAACUACUCAACUAUCCCAGAUACAAUCUUUGAUCGCGCAGCCUCAGAGUUCAUGAGAAAAGGUGAGGUUGGUGACUGGAAGAAUCACUUUAGUGCAGAAGAGGAUGCUGCAUUUGAGGAACACUAUCGUAAAAUAAUGUCUGAUUGUCCUAUUCCAAUACGGUUCACAAUAUGAAAGACUGAAAUGGAGUGUGUCUGUUUUCUAGUCCAAAAAAAAAAACCAUUACAAUUUCCUAAAGUUAUUAUUAUUAACUAUGUAAUCCCAUAUAUGUUUCUAUUUUGCCUCAUAAAGUACAUUGUACAUUGCUGGGCAACAAAAUGUAAUAUUAAUGUUCUACUCUGGAUGGGUGGUAAUUGUUGACUGUUCAAAGCUCUUGAAUGGAGUGUAAAGUUCAAGUCCCCUCAUAAAAUCUCUGGAAAGUACACAUGAUAUCAGUUAACGGAAAUGAAAUUAAUCUUAAGCAGAGGGCAGAAAUGUAAUGUUGUUGUUUUUUUAUUUCAUAUUUUUACAAUUUUAAAUCAGGAACAGGCCUCAGAAAUAAUUAUGGGAAUACAUUAAUAGAUUAAAACUUUGUGGCUGUAGAGAAACAAAUCAUACAGUUGUAAAAACUGAUCAAGGCCUAAGUGACCUUUGAGACUGUGCUCCCAAACAUCCAAUGCUUAUAUCUGCACUUCAUAAAGGUUAUAUGAGAGUGAGGUUCGCAAACAACGCAACUGAAAAUAACAAAAUAAGGCAUGUUGUCCUUCAUUUCCCGGUUUCUGCCAAGUGUUCCUACUUGGCUAACACCAAGUGCUAUUCCUUUACAUAGUGUUUUACAAGGGCUUGUGGGUGCUUGUGGAAUCUGGGUUCUUCGUAACCUUUUAA